rnacentral:rRNA from 1 species
UGGGGAAUAUUGGGACAAUGGGCGAAAGCCUGAUCCAGCAACGCCGCGUGCGGGACGAAGGCCCUCGGGUCGUAAACCGCUGUCAGGAGGGAGGAACGGUGCGUGGUUAAGAGCUGCGUACUUUGACAGUACCUCCAGAGGAAGCCCCGGCUAACUCCGUGCCAGCAGCCGCGGUAAUACGGAGGGGGGCCGAGCGUUAUUCGGAAUCAUUGGGCGUAAAGGGCGCGUAGGCGGCUCGAUAAGUUCAAGGUGAAAGCCCUCGGCUCAACCGAGGAACUGCCUUGGAUACUGUCGAGCUUGAGUCCGGAAGAGGGUGGUGGAAUUCCCGGUGUAGCGGUGAAAUGCGUAGAUAUUUGGAGGAACACCAGUGGCGAAGGCGGCUCACUGGCUCGAUACUGACGCUGAGGUGCGAAAGUGUGGGGAGCAAA